UACGUAGGGGGCAAGCGUUGUCCGGAUUUAUUGGGCGUAAAGAGCGUGUAGGCGGCUAGAUAGGUCCGUUGUGAAAACUCGAGGCUCAACCUCGAGACGCCGGUGGAAACCAUCUAGCUAGAGUCCGGAAGAGGAGAGUGGAAUUCCUGGUGUAGCGGUGAAAUGCGCAGAUAUCAGGAAGAACACCCGUGGCGAAGGCGGCUCUCUGGUACGUGACUGACGCUGAGGCGCGAAAGCGUGGGGAGCAAACAGG
rnacentral:rRNA from 1 species